rnacentral:rRNA from 1 species
UGGGUCCUAUGGGGGGCAGCAGUGGGGAAUAUUGCACAAUGGGGGAAACCCUGAUGCAGCGACGCCGCGUGAAGGAAGAAGUAUCUCGGUAUGUAAACUUCUAUCAGCAGGGAAGAAAAUGACGGUACCUGACUAAGAAGCCCCGGCUAACUACGUGCCAGCAGCCGCGGUAAUACGUAGGGGGCAAGCGUUAUCCGGAUUUACUGGGUGUAAAGGGAGCGUAGACGGCAAUACAAGUCGGAAGUGAAAUACCCGGGCUCAACCUGGGAACUGCUUUGGAAACUGUAUGGCUGGAGUGCUGGAGG